rnacentral:rRNA from 1 species
UACGAGAGGCCCAAACGUUAUUCGGAUUUACUGGGCUUAAAGAGUUCGUAGGCGGCGCAGAAAGUAGGGUGUGAAAGCCCUCGGCUCAACCGAGGAAUUGCGCUCUAAACUACUGUGCUUGAGGAAGCUAGAGGUGAGCGGAACUGAUGGUGGAGCGGUGAAAUGCGUUGAUAUCAUCAGGAACACCGGAGGCGAAGGCGGCUCACCGGGGCUUUUCUGACGCUGAGGAACGAAAGCCAGGGGAGCGAACGGG